rnacentral:lncRNA from 1 species
UAUUCAUUCACCUACUGAAGGAUAUCUUGGUUACUUUGAAUUUUUAGAAAUUUUCAAAAAUGCUACUACAGAUUUUUGUGUGACAUAAGUUUUCAUCUUCUUUCAGUAAAUGCCAGAAAGUUCAAUUGUGGGAUUAUAUGAUGAACUUCAUGAGAGAGAUUGUAAAAGAUAAAUGGAUUCGCAUUUAGGUAUUCAGAGGAUAAUACACCAACCCAAGUAAGAGAGCAAUAUCCAGACUGGUGUUUGAUCAAACAACUGGGUAUCAGAGCCUAGCCAAGUUGACAUAUAAAAGGAAACAUCACGGUAACAGAAUCCAACUUCAUCCUGAUUGUCUUUUGCCAUCCAGUUAUUAGAUAUCACGUAUUUCAAGCUUCCAUUUCUGUAAAAGAAAUUAAGAACCAUACUUUAGUAAUCAUAUAAUUACUAAACUUCAUAGAAUGGAUCUGCCUAAAAUACCAUCAUUUGUAUAUAGAAGCAUCUGUUAAUUUAAUACAGCAUUUUUACUUUAUUAUUUA